rnacentral:rRNA from 1 species
GUCAACUGCGUGACGGCAUCGGCGGGUAUACUUCGGUGGGAGUCGUGGUCCGGAUGUUCUGGGGGUAAAGUGGUCGCAGGUGUUCUUGUAAGUGGCGUGGGAAAGCCCCCGGCGCAACGUGGGAGGGUCACGCGAUACUGAUCGACUCGGAGGCAGGAGAGGGUAGUGGAAGUCCCGGUGGAGGGGUGAAAUGCGUAGAUAUCGGGAGGAACACCAGUGGCGAAGGCGACUACCUGGCCUGUUCUUGACGCUGAGGCGCGAAAGCUAGGGGAGCAAACGGGAUUAGAUACCCGGGUAGUC